UACGAUGGGGGCGAGCGUUGUUCGGAUUUACUGGGCGUAAAGGGCGCGUAGGCGGUCAGCACAAGUCAGUUGUGAAAUCUCCGGGCUUAACUCGGAAAGGUCAACUGAUACUGUGCGACUAGAGUGCAGAAGGGGCAACUGGAAUUCUCGGUGUAGCGGUGAAAUGCGUAGAUAUCGAGAGGAACACCUGCGGCGAAGGCGGGUUGCUGGGCUGACACUGACGCUGAUGCGCGAAAGCCAGGGGAGCGAACGGG
rnacentral:rRNA from 1 species